rnacentral:rRNA from 1 species
AACGAACGCUGGCGGCAGGCUUAACACAUGCAAGUCGAACGCCCCGCAAGGGGAGUGGCAGACGGGUGAGUAACGCGUGGGAAUCUACCCAGAUCUUCGGAACAACUGAGGGAAACUUCAGCUAAUACCGGAUACGCCCUACGGGGGAAAGAUUUAUCGGUUCUGGAUGAGCCCGCGUUGGAUUAGCUAGUUGGUGAGGUAAUGGCUCACCAAGGCGACGAUCCAUAGCUGGUCUGAGAGGAUGAUCAGCCACACUGGGACUGAGACACGGCCCAGACUCCUACGGGAGGCAGCAGUGGGGAAUAUUGGACAAUGGGCGAAAGCCUGAUCCAGCCAUGCCGCGUGAGUGAUGAAGGCCUUAGGGUUGUAAAGCUCUUUCAGUGGGGAAGAUAAUGACGGUGCCCACAGAAGAAGCCCCGGCUAACUUCGUGCCAGCCGCCGCCGUAACAC